rnacentral:rRNA from 1 species
UGGGGAAUUUUGGACAAUGGGCGCAAGCCUGAUCCAGCCAUUCCGCGUGCAGGAUGAAGGCCCUCGGGUUGUAAACUGCUUUUGUACGGAACGAAAAGGCUCUGGUUAAUACCUGGGGCUCAUGACGGUACCGUAAGAAUAAGCACCGGCUAAUUACGUG